rnacentral:rRNA from 1 species
GACGAACGCUGGCGGAGUGCUUAACACAUGCAAGUCGAACGCUGAAGCUCAGCUUUUGUUGGGUGGAUGAGUGGCGAACGGGUGAGUAACACGUGAGUAACCUGCCCCCUUCUUUGGGAUAACGCCCGGAAACGGGUGCUAAUACUGGAUAUUCACUGGUCUUCGCAUGGGGGUUGGUGGAAAGGGUUUUUCUGGUGGGGGAUGGGCUCGCGGCCUAUCAGCUUGUUGGUGGGGUGAUGGCCUACCAAGGCUUUGACGGGUAGCCGGCCUGAGAGGGUGACCGGUCACAUUGGGACUGAGAUACGGCCCAGACUCCUACGGGAGGCAGCAGUGGGGAAUAUUGCACAAUGGGCGCAAGCCUGAUGCAGCGACGCCGCGUGAGGGAUGGAGGCCUUCGGGUUGUGAACCUCUUUCGCUCAUGGUCAAGCCGCAACAAUGGUUGUGGUGAGGGUAGUGGGUAAAGAAGCGCCGGCUAACUACGUG